rnacentral:rRNA from 1 species
UACGUAGGGGGCAAGCGUUGUCCGGAUUUAUUGGGCGUAAAGAGCGUGUAGGCGGUCAGGUAGGUCCGUUGUGAAAACUCGAGGCUCAACCUCGAGACGCCGAUGGAAACCAUCUGACUAGAGUCCGGAAGAGGAGAGUGGAAUUCCUGGUGUAGCGGUGAAAUGCGCAGAUAUCAGGAAGAACACCCGUGGCUAAGGCGGCUCUCUAGUACGGUACUGACGCUGAGACGCGAAAGCGUGGGGAGCGAACAUG